rnacentral:rRNA from 1 species
GACGAACGCUGGCGGCGUGCUUAACACAUGCAAGUCGAACGGAAAGGCCCUGCUUUUGUGGGGUGCUCGAGUGGCGAACGGGUGAGUAACACGUGAGUAACCUGCCCUUGACUGUGGGAUAACUUCAGGAAACUGGGGCUAAUACCGGAUAUGAGCUCCUGCUGCAUGGUGGGGGUUGGAAAGUUUCGGCGGUUGGGGAUGGACUCGCGGCUUAUGAGCUUGUUGGUGGGGUAGUGGCUUACCAAGGCUUUGACGGGUAGCCGGCAUGGGAGCGUGGCCGGCCACAUUGGGCCUGCGAUACGCCCCAGACGCCUACGGGAGGCAGCAGUGGGGAAUCUUGCACAAUGGGCGGAAGCCUGAUGCAGCAACCCCGCGUGCGGGAUGACGUCCUUCGGGUUGUAAACCGCUUUCGCAUGUGACGAAGCGUGAGUGAUGGUAAUGAGUCAAGAAGCACCGGCUAACUACGUG